GUCACUUUGCCGGAGUGGUUAACGGGAUCGCCUGCUAUUUAUAGUCGUUAGCGGUUGGGCUUUGCCCGCGAGUGUUCGAAUCGCUCAGGUGACG
rnacentral:tRNA from 1 species